rnacentral:lncRNA from 1 species
UGGGUUGCUGUGGCACGGGGGAAGGCUCGGUGGGUCGACAGUGACCGGCGGCGGCGACGUCGGCUAGGGCGGCGGCGACUGGCGGCGGCGAUGACGGGGUGCGACUAUUGGUUGGAGCGGGAUGGGCAGAGAGGGAGAGAGAGACAGAGAGAUAAGAGAGAAAGAGAGCGAAGAGUGAGGGAGAGGUGUUGGGGCUUCGGGUGUACCUAGGUAAGACGGUGAAUUGUUCACCGUCUUCAUAAAAAACAGUGGAGACGGUGAACGAUUCACCGUCUUACCUUGGCCCACCUCCUGGGGGUUACCAAUAAAGACGGUGAAUAGUUCACCGUCUUUACUGCAGCACAAAUAAGACGAUGNUGAACGAUUCACCGUCUUACCUUGGCCCACCUCCUGGGGGUUACCAAUAAAGACGGUGAAUAGUUCACCGUCUUUACUGCAGCACAAAUAAGACGAUGAACUAUUCACCGUCUUAUCUGUGUUUUAUGUCUCCAGGACUUGGCCAAAGUUGGGGGGUGUGGGGGGAUAAUGUACCGUCUUAGGUAAGACGGUGAACUGUUUACCGUCUUAUUGAAGGGGGGGUGAAUUCGCUCUAAAGACGGUGAAUAGUUCACCAUCUCAUGAAGGCGGUGAACCAUCCACCGUCUUCGUGAGAAAUGCGCAUAGACGGUGAACGAUUCACCGUCUUUACGAGAAAAAUCCGAGCUGGCGCCGACGUGGCGAAAGGAGGGUUAGUUUUACAAAUAAAAUUUUCAGAGGGUUAUUUGGCCAAAUAUAAAAUUCUAUAGGGUCAGUUUCAAAAAAAGUCC